rnacentral:ncRNA from 1 species
GGUAGUAGCAAAUAUUCAAAUGAGAACUUUGAAGACUGAAGUGGAGAAAGGUUCCAUAUGAACAGCAGUUGGACAUGGGUUAGUCGAUCCUAAGUGAUAGGGAAGUUCCGUUUUAAAGUGCGCAAUUCUUUGCGCCGCCUAUCGAAAGGGAAGCAGGUUAAUAUUCCUGCACCAGAUUGUGGAUUUUUUACGGCAACAUAAAUGAACUCGGAGAUGCCAGUGGGAGCCCUAGGAAGAGUUUUCUUUUCUUUUUAACAGACUGUCACCGUGAAAUCAGAUUACCUGGAGAUACGGUUCAAUGUUUGGUAGAGCAGGACACCUCUGUCCUGUCUGGUGCGCUCUCAACGGUCCUUGAAAAUCCGAGGGAAAGAAUAAUUUUCACGCCUGGUCGUACUCAUAACCGCAGCAGGUCUCCAAGGUGAACAGCCUCUAGUU